rnacentral:tRNA from 1 species
GUGGGCAUAGCUCAGUUGGUUAGAGCACCAGAUUGUGAUUCUGGGGGUCGCCGGUUCAAGUCCGGUUGUCCACCC